AAGUUUUUUCUGCCCCGUCAGAUUAUGUCUCAUGUAUUUGAAUUGAAGUUGUGUUUUCUCCUUAUCUUGAAAGAUUUAUCUUUAUAUUCCCCAGAAUUUACUGAAUGAGUUUUCACUUUGUUGAUGAAAGUUGUACUUCCAAGAAUUUAGCAGACAGUGGUGAUGGCCUUGAAGUUAUCUUGACAUUCAUGUCAUAUGGAAAACUGAAGGAGCAGAGGGAGGCAUUUAUUUCCAGAAGAGGUCAGAGAGCAUAAUCAGGGGACAGAGACUAAAUAUUUGGCUUUCUUAGAAGACUGGGUUUUUAUUAAAGAGGUGGUUCUCCUUUCAAAUUAGUCUUAUGUCUCCCAAGAAAGACAUCAUGGGAAUGUCAAGAUUGAUCCAUUAGUAUCUUUUGUCUGUCAUCUAAGUGCCACUCUUAGGAUGAUUAGAGUGUCAGAAAGACGGAGUUUCACUCUUGUUGCCCAGGCUGCAGUGCAAUGGCACAAUCUUGGCUCAUCACAACCUCCGCCUACCAGGUUCAAGUGAUUCUCCUGCCUUAGCCUUCCGAGUAGCUGGGAUUAUAGGUGGCCCAAUGUAAUCACAAGGGUUUCUUCAACUCAGAAGAGGAAGGAAGAAAAGUCAGGGUCAGAGUGAUGUGAUGACCAAGACUUCACAACUACUGCUGGUUUUGAUGACAGAAGAGCACCAUGAGCCAAGGAAUGCAGGCAACUUCAAGAAGCUGGAGAAGGCAAGAAAAUGAUUCUCCCUUACAGCUUCCAGAAAGAAACACAGCUUUACUAACACCCUGAAUUUAGCCCAG